GACGAACGCUGGCGGCGUGCUUAACACAUGCGAGUCGAACGGAAAGGCCCUGCUUUUGUGGGGUGCUCGAGUGGCGAACGGGUGAGUAACACGUGAGUAACCUGCCCUUGACUUUGGGAUAACUUCAGGAAACUGGGGCUAAUACCGGAUAGGAGCUCCUGCUGCAUGGUGGGGGUUGGAAAGUUUCGGCGGUUGGGGAUGGACUCGCGGCUUAUGAGCUUGUUGGUGGGGUAGUGGCUUACCAAGGCUUUGACGGGUAGCCGGCCUGAGAGGGUGACCGGCCACAUUGGGACUGAGAUACGGCCCAGACUCCUACGGGAGGCAGCAGGGGGGAAUAUUGCACAAUGGGCGGAAGCCUGAUGCAGCAACGCCGCGUGCGGGAUGACGGCCUUCGGGUUGUAAACCGCUUUCGCCUGUGACGAAGCGUGAGUGACGGUAAUGGGUAAAGAAGCACCGGCUAACUACGU
rnacentral:rRNA from 1 species